GCUAACUCGCCCAAGUCUCCCCUUCAUUACUCAGGCAGCAAAAGGUUGACGCUGCACGCAGUGGUUUCCUUUCGAUACCAAGCAUCCCUCCUGCCUUUUUCUGGUGGCAGUCGGAGCCUCGUCUCCCACACCCAGCCCACUGUCGGGAGCCAUCUCGGUCGCCUUCCUCACACGCGUCCCCAGACUCCCGCUCAGCAGAGUAAACUCCUCUCACAUCCUGCCCAGCACACCCCCUCGCACACACCAGCCCCACCCGCUUCGGAAGGCUGCCCCCUCCGCAGUGGGGACCGGCACCCUGUCACUCACGCACCCUGGGGCCCUACAGCCUGGCCCCGGCACAGCCACAAAUGGCCGGCUACGAGACAGCAGCCACACAGACACCCGGCUCCAGCAGCUGAGACACACACGCCCUUCCCCUUCUGUCACGGAGUGUUCAAGUUCAAGAAGGAAACAGGGUGGUCAAGGAGGCGGCAUGGAACUCUCACCUUAAAAUGAGCCCCACGACACCCGAUGGGAGUGCAGGUGGCAAGACAGAGGAGUGGAUGCUGUAUUAUGUUCUAUUUCCUACUUCACCAUCCUUAAUUCACUCUGAAUUCAGAAACAGAAAACCAAAAACAAAAAACAAGACCCAAAAAACAAACGUGAAGCAUGUAAGAGCUUCUGAGUUUGUGGUUUUGCUUCACGACCAAAAAACACCCAAAUGAAAAGUAGAUCCGUUCACUUAGUCCACCUGGUUGAUUAAAACAAACAAACUUCCCACUAAUUAGAGUGAUGUGACUUGAAUCUGUCAUUUUGAACAUAAAGCCUGAAGUAAAACCAACGACUGAAUUAAAAAUCAGUAAGCUGGCUGGGUGUCAGGAGACCGGGGUUCUAGUUGGAGCCUAAAUUUCUAAACACUGAAGCUCCAAAUAUCUACAUUCAGCGAUCCUCACGACUACCGUCUGAAUUACACGUGCUCGGCCGUCAGAACUGACCGGAUAAACAUCACGACGCGGCUUGUCCCAAGCACUGCACGGCAUACCGACGUUUAACGAAAAGAGAGAAACGAGGCUUCCAACUAGAGCCCUGUUAAACAACUCUCAGACUAUAAUAGCAGUGCCUUGAGCCAGAAUCUCGAUUUUCUACCCCACCGCUAAACCCCGCUGGCUCCCAGGUCUAAGCUAGUAAGUCCUCAUGGUUUUGGACCUGCGGUGAAGGCUAAAACUGAGUUCCAAAAAAAAAAAAAAAAAUCAACAGCUCUCUCCGCUCCUCCUCUUCAGGACCAACUGAGAUACAAGUUGGGGUGGGGGUGGGGGUGGUUCCUGUCCUGGGAAGCAGACAUCCUCAACGACAUUUACGGUUUGGGUCAUUCCCAUCACUUCUGAGAAGCAAGGCAGAUAAGGAAAAGCAA